GAUGGAGGGCAAAGCCAAGUACAUCCUCCCUACCGAAACAAUAUAUGUUGGGGAAAUGAAGGAUGGCAUGUUUCACGGCGAAGGAACCCUGUACUUCCCCAGCGGAAGCCAAUACGACGCCAUUUGGGAAAACGGAUUGGCCAUAAAGGUAUGGCUCAACUCACCAAUAUGGACCCACCUAGAAAAAUCCCCAAGGGCUAUUACGAUUGUGGAGACGGCUUCUAUAACCCAGUCACGAGGGUAGUCAAGGACUAUAGGAACCGCUUUCUAAGAAACGCAGAUGAUGACGAGCAUGAGUGGAUCACCCGUACCUGUCGAAAGGGCUAGGACGAGAUCGUGGGUCACAGGCCCGAGCCGUGAACUCUGUGGCUGCCUCCACCAGAGGUUUCCAUCUGCCCUACUAGCAUUGGCUGCCCUGGGGGACGGGCUGUAGUUCUAGAACCUGAUUUUAACUCAGGAAUAAAGACUUUCUGCGGUCA
rnacentral:sRNA from 1 species